rnacentral:lncRNA from 1 species
AUGCACCUUCCCCACAGCUCAGCACCCCACUGCAGAUGUCCCCAAAAGCCACACCCCUGUGGGGACACUGGCCAGAAGGAGCUGAGAGCCACUUCCUUGGAACCAAACUCCUCCCCAGCCACAGUCCAGGGCAGGGGAAGAACACUCCAUUCCCAGCCUCAGUCCCACGAGGUUUCGAGGAAGCUCCCGGUGUGCAAGCAGCUCCAGCUGCUUCCGCCGGGACUGGGGACAGCAGGGCUGGUUGCACAAGGAGAAGAAAACAGCCAGGGCUACCUUCCCACUGCCAGGAGAGCCUUUCCGUGCUGGGGGAAAUGGAGGCACAGACUCAGCUGCGUCACCCACGAGGGUAAACACCAGCUCUCCUGCAGCACAGCUCAGUGCCCCGCCCUGCGGGUCCCCGGGAUGGAAAGGGGUGGGAUGGCAUCUAGCACAGAAAUGGGUGGGGGACACUGCCAAUUGUGGCACCACAGCGUCCCCCGUGGGCAAAGUGUGGCCAUUAGGGGCUGUGUGGGAUGGGGGCUCCUGAGCCCCCUGGGAGUCAGGCCAGGGUCUGGCCCCACUGUCGGCGGGUGUCUGCUCCGGGGGUUGCCCUGUUCCAGUAGCGCACGGCUCCGGGGGCCAAAGCUUUCGGACAACUCAGGUGUCCCACAGAACAGGGGGGUCCCUGCAGGGAGGGACACCGACACCGAUCCUGUCUCCACCGCUGACAGCCGGGGAACCCCCAGCCCAGCCCCCUGCCCUCAGCCCCGGGUCCCCAGGCACUCUCUCCCAUGGCAGCAGGAGAUGGCUCCCGGCCAGCUCCGCUCUGGACGCACCCGCCGAUGGCACAGACUCACGGGUGGGCGGCAGCCUCGCCUCUCCGGGGUGCUCGGCCCUGGCAACUUCCCCGGGCUGGCCGGACUCUGGAUUCUCGCUCGGCAAAGCCCCACCCCGAGUCCUUGCCUGCCUCCCGCAGAGGAGGAGCGUUCGCCGGCGGCCUCUGCCCCAGGAGCUUCGGAGAACCGGCCAGGCCGGCGGGAACCCACGUGGGACGGGCCAAGGGCCCCAGCCCAGCGUGGGAACUGCGGCAGCCCCACGGACGGGCAUCCUAGGAUGGCAUCAGCUGUGUCCCACCCACUGACCCCAUCCUCACAGGCAGCUCCAGUCCCCCGGGCAGCAGCACACCCCGCUGGGGCUCUUGCACAGCCCCGGCAUCCCAAACUCUGGCACGAACCCGCCACUUCACUGAGCCAGGAGCUGGUGACAUGGAGCUGGCACAGCUUUUUGCCCAUUUAUUUUCCAGCUCUUGUGCUGAGGUGGCUAAAACCUGUAGGGCUGCAGAUCCAGAACUGCACACCUGGCACCCCGGGAUCCAGAACCUGGAUCCUACCCAGCAUGUAG